GCGGGAGUAGCCAAGCCCGGUCAAAGGCGGCGGACUUAAGAUCCGCUCUCGUAGGAGUUCACGAGUUCGAAUGAAUCCAGAGGUCUACUCGGAUUCCGAAGGGCUCGUCUCCCGCACCA
rnacentral:tRNA from 1 species